rnacentral:rRNA from 1 species
ACGGGUGAGUAAUAUAUCGGAACGUACCCUAGAGUGGGGGAUAACGCAGCGAAAGUUGCGCUAAUACCGCAUACGAUCUACGGAUGAAAGUGGGGGAUCGCAAGACCUCAUGCUCAUGGAGCGGCCGAUAUCUGAUUAGCUAGUUGGUAGGGUAAAAGCCUACCAAGGCUUCGAUCAGUAGCUGGUCUGAGAGGACGACCAGCCACACUGGAACUGAGACACGGUCCAGACUCCUACGGGAGGCAGCAGUGGGGAAUUUUGGACAAUGGGCGCAAGCCUGAUCCAGCAAUGCCGCGUGAGUGAAGAAGGCCUUCGGGUUGUAAAGCUCUUUUGUCAGGGAAGAAACGGUGGACUCUAAUACAGAUCACUAAUGACGGUACCUGAAGAAUAAGCACCGGCUAACUACGUGCCAGCAGCCGCGGUAAUACGUAGGGUGCAAGCGUUAAUCGGAAUUACUGGGCGUAAAGCGUGCGCAGGCGGUUGUGCAAGACAGAUGUGAAAUCCCCGGGCUCAACCUGGGAAUUGCAUUUGUGACUGCACGGCUAGAGUGUGUCAGAGGGGGGUAGAAUUCCACGUGUA